GAUUAGUCUUUCGCCCCAUGCGCAGAUUUGACGAUCGAUUUGCACGUCAGAACCGCUGCGAGCCUCCACCAGAGUUUCCUCUGGCUUCACCCUAUCCACGCAUAGUUCACCAUCUUUCGGGUCCGAACAGUUAUGCUCUUACUCAAAUCCAUCCGAAGACAUCAGGAUCGGUCGAUGAUGCACCCGUAAGGGCUCUCACCUCCGUUCACUUUCAUUACGCUUGAGGGUUUAACACCCAAAAACUCGCAUAAAUGUUCGACUCCUUGGUCCGUGUUUCAAGACGGGUGGCUGAUGACCAUUAUGCCAGCAUCCUAGCCGAAGCGCGGUCCUCAGUCCCAGCGGCGGUAUUACACAGCAGGCUAUAACACUCCCGGGGGAGUCACGUUCCUGAAGUCUUUAUCCCGCCGCCGAAACUGAUGCUGGCCUCAACCAAGCGGAGUGCACCGGUGAGAACACCGGAUGAUCCGCAAGGCAAAGGUCUGGUCACAAGCCCUUCCCUUUCAACAAUUUCACGUACUAUUUAACCCUCUUUUCAAAGUGCUUUUCAUCUUUCGAUCACUCUACUUGUGCGCUAUCGGUCUCUGGCCGGUAUUUAGCUUUAGAAGAAAUUUACCUCCCAUUUAGAGCAGCAUUCCCAAACUACUCGACUCGUCGAAGGAGAUUUACAGAGGCUCGGCAUCCAACCGUACGGGGCUCUCACCCUCUAAGGCGUCCUGUUCCAAGGAACUCGGAAGGUACCUAACCAAAAUCAUCCUCUACAAAUUACAACUCGGACCCGAGGGCCAGAUUUCAAAUUUGAGCUGUUGCCGCUUCACUCGCCGUUACUAGGGCAU
rnacentral:rRNA from 1 species